rnacentral:lncRNA from 1 species
UCAAACAUUAAGAAAGCUCAAUUAAAUUUUAUUGAAGUUAUAAAAGAAAUACGAGGAAAUCCUAUAGAAAUAUAAAAGAAUAUUAAAGAAAACUUAGUCAAACCCUAAAAAAAAUCUAAAUAAACCUUAAAUUCUAACCAAAUCCUAAUUCUAAUCCAACCUUAAUCAAAUCCUAGACAAACCCUAAACCCUAAACAUACCCUAGUCAAAUCUUAGAAAAAUCCUAAUCCUAACAAAUCGUAAUCAAUUCCAAAUCCUAAUCAAAUCCUAAACAAAUCCUAGUCAAACCUUAAUCAAACCCUAACUCUAAAUCCUAACCAAA